rnacentral:rRNA from 1 species
CAAGUCGAGCGGUAGAGAGAAGCUUGCUUCUCUUGAGAGCGGCGGACGGGUGAGUAAUGCCUAGGAAUCUGCCUGGUAGUGGGGGAUAACGUUCGGAAACGGACGCUAAUACCGCAUACGUCCUACGGGAGAAAGCAGGGGACCUUCGGGCCUUGCGCUAUCAGAUGAGCCUAGGUCGGAUUAGCUAGUUGGUGAGGUAAUGGCUCACCAAGGCGACGAUCCGUAACUGGUCUGAGAGGAUGAUCAGUCACACUGGAACUGAGACACGGUCCAGACUCCUACGGGAGGCAGCAGUGGGGAAUAUUGGACAAUGGGCGAAAGCCUGAUCCAGCCAUGCCGCGUGUGUGAAGAAGGUCUUCGGAUUGUAAAGCACUUUAAGUUGGGAGGAAGGGUUGUAGAUUAAUACUCUGCAAUUUUGACGUUACCGACAGAAUAAGCACCGGCUAACUCUGUGCCAGCAGCCGCGGUAAUACAGAGGGUGCAAGCGUUAAUCGGAAUUACUGGGCGUAAAGCGCGCGUAGGUGGUUUGUUAAGUUGGAUGUGAAAUCCCCGGGCUCAACCUGGGAACUGCAUUCAAAACUGACUGACUAGAGUAUGGUAGAGGGUGGUGGAAUUUCCUGUGUAGCGGUGAAAUGCGUAGAUAUAGGAAGGAACACCAGUGGCGAAGGCGACCACCUGGACUAAUACUGACACUGAGGUGCGAAAGCGUGGGGAGCAAACAGGAUUAGAUACCCUGGUAGUCCACGCCGUAAACGAUGUCAACUAGCCGUUGGAAGCCUUGAGCUUUUAGUGGCGCAGCUAACGCAUUAAGUUGACCGCCUGGGGAGUACGGCCGCAAGGUUAAAACUCAAAUGAAUUGACGG